rnacentral:lncRNA from 1 species
GUUAUAUAUUCCAAUAUAAUUGUAUAAACAUGUAUUUUUAUAUGAUGGCAAAAGUUGGUUCAUAGGCUUGGAGAAAUAAUUUUCCCGGCAAUGUUCAUAUGUUUAUAUGUUCAUGGCAUAAGCAAAUAACAUUCUAAUUUAUUUUGUAAAUUUACAUUGUAUUCAAGCUUACAUCUAACAAUUUUCUGAAUCUAAUUUAAGAAGUUUUCAUAAUUCACUAUUUGAAAACAUAUCAGUCAUUUUUUUUCUUCCUUGCAAAAACUUCUGUACUUUUUCUCUCAAGGUCAGACAGACCUGAAUUUGAUAGCAACAGAGCUUCAGCAAUAACAGCAGAUGCCAUCUUAGAUUAAUGAAAGUCUUCAAAAGUAUACCAUCAAUCACUGAACAUGUGCAUGAAGUGACCUUCAUGUCCAUUUUUUGUUCUACAUAAUUUUCCUCUCCUUGGACAAAUUUUUCAAGAGCAAACUGGGGAUGUAGCAUUGACCCAGCCUGCUCAAUGUGCAGGACUCAUGCCUGCAAGCACCGGGACUCCUAAGAAUUAUCACUGUGCGUUUCUGUGUCAUAUCAGCAAGCUCAUCUGCAGAAAUACAUUCUGACUGAGUAACCCUGAGGUAGGCAAUGCUUAAUUCUCCAUUUCAAAAUCUUCCAGGAAUGGAAAAAUGAUUCAGCUGGAAGGCAUCUGCACUGCCAGAACCCUAUUAUCCUAAC